rnacentral:misc_RNA from 1 species
CUUGAAUGUAGCUCGAUUUAAACCUGGGCUUCAAGGAAGAUUCCUCCUAGCUUGAGGAAGACCAUGCCACCAACAGUCGUGAAAGGGGAAGUCAGUCCACCCAAUUCUUUUGCCCUAGGUUCAGUUCAAUUGGUGAUUUAUUUUAAAUAAUAUCUUUCUUUUUAUGCCAAUAAAUACAGGAAAAUGCAACUUGGACGAUUUGAAUGUCAGUUUAUGGGCAGAAAUCCGUUUUCAUCCAAAACUAUCACGAGGGGUUUGAACCUUAGCAUUUCUGCUUCCUUAUUAAUAUUAAUAUUAAUAUUAA